rnacentral:sRNA from 1 species
UUUCAAUUGCAUCUAUAAAGGCCUCAAC